UGGGGAAUUUUGGACAAUGGGGGAAACCCUGAUCCAGCCAUCCCGCGUGUGCGAUGAAGGCCUUCGGGUUGUAAAGCACUUUUGGCAGGAAAGAAACGUCAUGGGUUAAUACCCCGUGAAACUGACGCUACCUGCAGAAUAAGCACCGGCUAACUACGUGCCAGCAGCCGCGGUAAUACGUAGGGUGCAAGCGUUAAUCGGAAUUACUGGGCGUAAAGCGUGCGCAGGCGGUUCGGAAAGAAAGAUGUGAAAUCCCAGAGCUCAACUUUGGAACUGCAUUUUUAACUACCGGGCUAGAGUGUGUCAGAGGGAGGUGGAAUUCCGCGUGUAGCAGUGAAAUGCGUAGAUAUGCGGAGGAACACCGAUGGCGAAGGCAGCCUCCUGGGAUAACACUGACGCUCAUGCACGAAAGCGUGGGGAGCAAACAGG
rnacentral:rRNA from 1 species